rnacentral:tRNA from 1 species
UGGGGUGUGGCUCAGGGGUGGAGCGUGUGCAUUGCAGGUGCAUAGUCGUAGGUUCAAUCCCCAGCACCAAAG